UGUUUCGGCUAGGGGGCCAUCCCGGCUUACCAACCCGAUGCAAACUGCGAAUACCGGAGAAUGUUAUCACGGGAGACACACGGCGGGUGCUAACGUCCGUCGUGAAGAGGGAAACAACCCAGACCGCCAGCUAAGGUCCCAAAGUCAUGGUUAAGUGGGAAACGAUGUGGGAAGGCUCAGACAGCCAGGAUGUUGGCUUAGAAGCAGCCAUCAUUUAAAGAAAGCGUAAUAGCUCACUGGUCGAGUCGGCCUGCGCGGAAGAUGUAACGGGGCUAAACCAU
rnacentral:rRNA from 1 species